GUGCAGAGCUGGAAGUGGCGCCUGCGCCAUGGGCCGCGGAUGGUGACUGGAGGAAAAAGAGGGGCUCUGCGGCGCUGGAAGGCCCUCCAAAGGAGAAUGUAGCUGCAGUGUGCUGGAAAGCCAGCACCGUGGCCUGCUAAUCAAUCAGGAUUCAAAGAAAAGACAUAAACUCAGGAGCUAUGGUGCCUCAUUCACCUUCCACUUACUAUGAGGAAUGAGAAAUGGAGAAAGACCGUCUGCAGACAGAGAAUGAAGCAUGGAAAGGCAAAGACCAGAAUGGUGAAACUACUCCCUGGAUCCUGGCAAUUUCCCAGGCCCUUUCUGAGGCCCUCUGAUGUUGGGAGUCUGAGAGUUACCUU